AAAACAUUAGGUUAAAAAAACCUUUGGUCUUCAAAACCAAGAACAAAUAUUAAUUUAUGUUUUG
rnacentral:tRNA from 1 species